rnacentral:misc_RNA from 1 species
GACAGAGGGGGCAAGCGUUGCUCGGAAUCACUGGGCGUAAAGGGCGCGUAGGCGGGAUGGCAAGUCGGUCGUGAAAUCCUUCGGCUCAACCGGAGAACGUCGGCCGAUACUGCCGUUCUUGAGGGAUGCAGAGGAGACUGGAAUUCCCGGUGUAGCGGUGAAAUGUGUAGAGAUCGGGAGGAACACCGGUGGCGAAGGCGGGUCUCUGGGCAUCUCCUGACGCUGAGGCGCGAAAGCGUGGGGAGCAAACGGG